GCCAGGCAUAGCGGCAUGUGCCUACUGUCCUAGCUACUCGGUAGGCUGAAGUGGAAAAACUGCUAGAGUCCUGGAGUUCUGGGCUGCAGUGCAAGAUGCCUAUCAGGUGUUCACACUAAGUUUGGCAUCAAUCCGGUGACCUCCCAGGAGUUGGAGACCACCAGAUUGCCUAAGGAAGGGUGAACCUGCCCAGGUCAGAAACACAGUAGGUCAAAACUCUCAUGCUGAUCAGUUGCCUUUUUUUUGAUUGGGUGUCUUUUGGAAGAAGUCUAAUUUCCUGAGUUUUUUAUUCAGUGUGUUCGCUCUCU
rnacentral:SRP_RNA from 1 species